rnacentral:rRNA from 1 species
GUAGUCUGCAACUCGACUACAUGAAGCUGGAAUCGCUAGUAAUCGCGAAUCAGAAUGUCGCGGUGAAUACGUUCCCGGGUCUUGUACACACCGCCCGUCACACCAUGGGAGUCGGAUAUGCCCGAAGUCAGUGACCCAACCAUAUGGAGGGAGCUGCCGAAGGUGGAGCCGAUAACUGGGGUGAAGUCGUAACAAGGUAUC